GGGGCUCCACUUGUUAAGUGCUUGAGGAAAAAGAUAUGCACAUGAUGGUCGCAAAUCCAGAGAAGGUAUGCAAAGUUCUUUGGGUGGACGACAUGGCUGAUGCUGGGGCAGAUCAAUACACUUUCCACAUAGAAGCAACAGAUAAUUGAUCAAGCAG